UUAAUUCAUAUUUGUAUGGAAUGGGAUCGUUUGCCUACGUUUGCCGUUAGGGGCGCUGUUCCAACUGCAUACAAAAUUGGUUUA
rnacentral:pre_miRNA from 1 species